UACGUAGGGGGCAAGCGUUGUCCGGAAUCAUUGGGCGUAAAGAGCGUGUAGGCGGCCUGAUAAGUCGGUUGUGAAAGUCAAGGGCUCAACCCUUGAAUGCCGACCGAUACUGUCAGGCUAGAGUCCGGAAGAGGCGAGUGGAACUCCUGGUGUAGCGGUGGAAUGCGCAGAUAUCAGGAAGAACACCAACGGCGAAGGCAGCUCGCUGGGACGGUACUGACGCUGAGACGCGAAAGCGUGGGGAGCGAACAGG
rnacentral:rRNA from 1 species